rnacentral:lncRNA from 1 species
UAUAAAAAAAGAAAGUAUUCAAUUUUUGAUUCUAUCAAUAUUCACAUGCAAGAAUAGCAUCAAAUAAAAGCAAAAAUAUCAAAGAUCGGAGACCCAAAAGCACAGAAAACAUAAGGUGAUUCUUUUUCAUUUUAGCUUCUGUUUCGGAUUCAUAUUCUCGAACAUAUAAAUCAAAGAAAAAUAUUACAAAUAUAACAAAUAUAAAAGAUAAAAUACUAAGAAAAUAAAAAAAAUAGAAGUUUUUACGGUGGCCGGUGCCGCGCCGGCGACGGUCCGGCGAUCGGACCGGUGACCGGCCCAUGGUCAGAUUCCCUCCCCCUUCCCCUCUUCUCUCCUUCUUUUUUUUCUUUUUU